AUUAUGAAACUUACAGAAUUCUUCCUUUUUUUUUUUAAGAGAGAGAGAAAGGUAGAAUGCUAUCCGUUUGGUUUAUUUCAUUUAAAAAUAAACUUAAUUAUAGAAUUCGAAUUUGGAUCUCGAAUACCAACCGCCAAGCUUUUUUGCCACUUGCGUUAGGAACGGUCCGUGAAACUCACAGAAUUCUAAAACUUCGUAAUUUGCUACAUCUAAACUU
rnacentral:lncRNA from 1 species